UACGGAGGAUGCAAGCGUUAUCCGGAAUGAUUGGGCGUAAAGCGUCCGCAGGUGGCUGUGUAAGUCUGCUGUCAAAGAGCGAAGCUCAACUUCGUAAAGGCAGUGGAAACUACACGGCUAGAGUGCGUUCGGGGCAGAGGGAAUUCCUGGUGUAGCGGUGAAAUGCGUAGAGAUCAGGAAGAACAUCGGUGGCGAAAGCGCUCUGCUGGACCUUAACUGACACUGAGGGACGAAAGCUAGGGGAGCGAAUGGG
rnacentral:rRNA from 1 species